rnacentral:rRNA from 1 species
CCUACGGGCGGCAGCAGUGGGGAAUAUUGGACAAUGGGCGAAAGCCUGAUCCAGCCAUGCCGCGUGUGUGAAGAAGGCCUUCGGGUUGUAAAGCACUUUCAGUGGGGAAGAAAGCCUUGGGGCUAAUACCCUCGAGGAAGGACAUCACCCACAGAAGAAGCACCGGCUAACUCCGUGCCAGCAGCCGCGGUAAUACGGAGGGUGCGAGCGUUAAUCGGAAUUACUGGGCGUAAAGCGCGCGUAGGCGGUCUGAUAAGCCGGUUGUGAAAGCCCCGGGCUCAACCUGGGAACGGCAUCCGGAGCUGUCAGGCUAGAGGGCAGGAGAGGAAGGUAGAAUUCCCGGUGUAGCGGUGAAAUGCGUAGAGAUCGGGAGGAAUUCCAGUGGCGAAGGCGGCCUUCUGGACUGACACUGACGCUGAGGUGCGAAAGCGUGGGUAGCAAACAGGAUUAGAUACCCCAGUAGUC